rnacentral:rRNA from 1 species
GACGAACGCUGGCGGCGUGCCUAAUACAUGCAAGUAGAACGCUGAAGGAGGAGCUUGCUUCUCUGGAUGAGUUGCGAACGGGUGAGUAACGCGUAGGUAACCUGCCUGGUAGCGGGGGAUAACUAUUGGAAACGAUAGCUAAUACCGCAUAAUAGUAGAUGUUGCAUGACAUUUGCUUAAAAGGUGCAAUUGCAUCACUACCAGAUGGACCUGCGUUGUAUUAGCUAGUUGGUGGGGUAACGGCUCACCAAGGCGACGAUACAUAGCCGACCUGAGAGGGUGAUCGGCCACACUGGGACUGAGACACGGCCCAGACUCCUACGAGAGGCAGCAGUAGGGAAUCUGCGGCAAUGGACGGAAGUCUGACCGAGCAACGCCGCGUGAGUGAAGAAGGUUUUCGGAUCGUAAAGCGCGGUUGUAAGAGAAGAACGAGUGUGGGAGUGGAAAGUUCACACUGUGACGGUAUCUUACCAGAAAGGGACGGCUAACUACGUG